GACGGACGGUGCAAGCGUUGCUCGGAAUCACUGGGCGUAAAGGGUGCGUAGGCGGCCGCGCAAGUCUGGCGUGAAAGCCCCGGGCUCAACCUGGGAACCGCGCUUGAGACUGGCAUGCUCGAGUUCGGGAGAGGAUGGUGGAAUUCCCAGUGUAGAGGUGAAAUUCGUAGAUAUUGGGAAGAACACCGAUGGCGAAGGCAGCCAUCUGGACCGACACUGACGCUGAGGCGCGAAAGCGUGGGGAGCAAACAGG
rnacentral:rRNA from 1 species